AUUGAACGCUGGCGGCAUGCCUUACACAUGCAAGUCGAACGGUAACGGGCCUUCGGGUGCCGACGAGUGGCGCACGGGUGUGUAAUACAUCGGAACGUGCCCGAUCGUGGGGGAUAACGAGGCGAAAGCUUUGCUAAUACCGCAUACGAUCUACGGAUGAAAGCAGGGGACCGCAAGGCCUUGCGCGGACGGAGCGGCCGAUGGCAGAUUAGGUAGUUGGUGGGAUAAAAGCUUACCAAGCCGACGAUCUGUAGCUGGUCUGAGAGGAUGAUCAGCCACACUGGGACUGAGACACGGCCCAGACUCCUACGGGAGGCAGCAGUGGGGAAUUUUGGACAAUGGGCGCAAGCCUGAUCCAGCCAUGCCGCGUGCAGGAUGAAGGCCUUCGGGUUGUAAACUGCUUUUGUACGGAACGAAAAGCCUUCUUUUAAUACAGGAGGGUCAUGACGGUACCGUAAGAAUAAGCACCGGCUAACUACGUG
rnacentral:rRNA from 1 species